rnacentral:lncRNA from 1 species
GGCAGAGGACACAAGGAGCUCAGUGGCGGAGCUUUUGAGCCAGGAUGAGCCAGGAGAAGGAAUUUCACAAGGGCUGCAUGUGGCACAGCUGUGGGGAGGAUGGAUUGGAAUGACUCAAGGAAACUGGCCUCCAGAACCCAAAGGAAAAUAAAAGUGUCAGAAGAUUUGAGGAGAAACAUCUGGAAGCAAGAACAAUUAACUUCGUGUUUUCAGGUG